CUGAUUCUAUUCCAUGGCAUGAGAUUCCUGUUGUCGCUAUAAUAGAUGAUAUACGUCAGGGCUCACAAGUACAGCCAUUUUUUUUAAAAGCAUUGGAAUUUAUUAUCUCGACUUGUAGACAUCAGAAGUAGAACAUCAGCCUCAGGGCGUAACGGGGGGGGGGGGUAGACCGGGCCGUGGCUCCUCUGGAGAGUCUAGGGGGUCUCUGCCCUGCCCUCUCCUGACUUUUGGGUGCUGUGCUCAGUUCUUGGCUUGUGGCCUCUUCCUCCAUAUUCGAAGCCACAAACUGAGCCCCCUGAACCUCAUCUCAUGCUUCCACAUGUAAAGCGGGUCGAUCCCUGCAACCACACUACCCCGUGAUUAGAUCCAGUUCAGCAGACAGGCAGACAGACAGACUGCUCUAGCUUAGAGAUUCGUGCACUAGAGCGAACAGACAAUUGCUCAGGGCUGGGUAGCCAAGAGCACUGUGGACAGCAGACAAGGAUGCGGGUGGGUGGAGAGAGAGACAGGAUUGAGAUCCUAGGGAAGCAGACCCUGAGGAGGGACCUGGGAGAUUGACGGGUGGAGAAGAGAACGAUAGGGGAGUUGGUCAUAGUCUAGGAUAUUAGCCCACCUCAUCCCUCAGACGCUGUCAGAGAAAAGUCACCCCAGAGCUGAGUAACCCUGGUGUGUGUGUGUAUAUGUGUGUGUGUGUGUGUGUGUGUGUGUGUCUAGAUCUCUGUGUGUUUGUGUAUAUGUGUGUCUCUGUGGGCAUAUAUGAGUGUCUCUUUGUGUGUAUGUAUCUCCAUGUGUGUCUGCAUAUGUCUGUAUCUGUGUCUGUGUGCAUAUGUGAAUGUUUCUCUCUCUCUCUCUCUCUCUCUCUCUCUCUAUCUAUCUAUCUCUCUCUCUCUCUCUGUGUGUGUGUGUGUGUGUGUGUGUGUGUGUAUCUUUGUGUAUGUUCAUACCCUAAACUUACAGAGGUGAUGUUACUCUUUGGUAAACAUGGUUCCCUAGAGAAGAUGCCAGAAGAGUCUUAGUAGACAAAACUCUCCUGCAGAAGCUGGCUCCUCAGUGAGGCCUUUGCAGAGGUGAUGGAGGUGAGGGCUGAGAGCCAUAUCUGGCUGGACAUUUGCUUUAUAAAUAAAGCUUCAUUCAGGCGGUGGUGGCACACGCCUUUAAUCCUAGCACUCGGGAGACAGAGGCAGGUGGAUCUCUGCAUUUGAGGCCAGCCUGGUCUACAGAGCAAGUUCUAGGACGGCCAGGUCUACACGGUGAAACCCUGUGGUACCCAGACACACUCACUCCUUUAUACAGGCUCUGCUUACCAUGGAGACAGACGAAGUAGGAGAACAUCCCAGUUUGCCUACAAGACAGAGGUUUCUGGGACACUGGACUUUCAUGUUCUUACAAGGAAGGUACCAGUGUAACAGAACAUCUAAAAUUUUACCAUCUGGCCCUUUGCAGAAAAAUCUGGGGACCCUGCUUUGAAGCCAUCAAAGGUGCACAGGGAGGCAGGAGGUGAGUGGCCAAGACAAAGCACGGUGUAAGGCAGUAGGGACAGGGGAGACCUGGCUCUUUCCAACAUCAGUGAGACUCAGUAGCGACCUGAGGUCCUCUCCUCCACCAGUACAGCCUAGACCCAGGAGCUCCUACAGGCUUGGUUGUCUCUGCUGUGCCUGGGCUUUGCAUCCUGGGUGGCUAGGCUCUGCAGCCACCCACCAUUCAAGCUGCUGCUACCUUACUCUGAGCCUCGGCCACAGGGGCGCCCAUCGAGGACUGACUUUGGGAACUGGAAUGCCCAGAUCAUGAAACUUCUAAACAGGAGGCAGACCUUGUCAAAAAGCACCCCACAGGGAGGUCUAGGGACAACCAGCAAGCGUGUGGAUGAGGAGAGUCAGACUUGGCCAUUUCCAGGAGCCUGUAAAGCAGGGGACGAGGGCGGUGUGAAAAAUAAAUACGGAGGUUAAUGCUAAGGGAAAAGGUUUGUUUUAUCUAGAGCAGAGUAUUUCUAACAUAAACCCAUCGCCCAACCACCACAAAGAGACUGACAUUUUCCCACACACGGCCUCACUCUUUGCUCUGAAGAUGGUUGGGGGGGGGGGGUGAGCAUGUGCAGCUUCCCGGGGGAAUUUCUGGAAAGACCAGCUUCAGAUGAGGGUCAGGGCAGAGUUGGCAACUGUGUGGGGCCAGGUUUUAAGCUCGUGUGUGUGCUGAAGUUGAAGAUCCGAGCACCACCGAGCAGACGGGGAAGAACUCCAUCGGCUGAGUUCUCUGCAACCAGCCUUCUCGGCUCUACAGCUGAUUUUGAGACAGAGCCUUGCUAAGUUCACAGGCUAGCUCUCCACUCGCUCUGAGGCCCCAAUAGGUCUUGAAGCGUUAGUCCUCCAGCCUGAGCCUAACAAGUAGUAGGACUGACAGGUCUCUGCCCCUAGGCCUGAAGAGUUUGAACCCUUAAAGUCCCAGAAGGAAAGAAGGGGAGAGGUGUUCUGAGUGAUCUGAAAGGGUCUGGAAAGAAACGGGAGAAAAAGCACAGUGGUCUGGGCUCCGUUUCCAGCAAUGUGUAAGACUGUGUGGGGCAGACCUGUAAUGACCAGCACAGGAGUUCAAAGUCAUCCUCAGCUUACGUUGAGUUGAGGUCCAGCCUGAGCUACGUAAGACCCUGUAUCAAAAAAACAAAACCAAGAACCAACUUCCAGCAUGCUGCUUCCUGUUUAAAAUAACCACUCCCCUUCUAGCUGUGCAAAUACAGUAGAAGGCCACACAUGCACAUACAUCACCCUUCCCUGUUGCACAUUUCUGAGGGCGGUGACGUUCUGGGCAGGUACUGGAGUCAGAGAGCUGUAUUCCCAGGUUCUCAUGGCUCCCGAAGAAAAGACCUAUGGAUAUUGGUAAAACAGAGAGGACUCAUUAAAUAGAAAAAUACCAGCCAGUGGUGGUGGUGGUGGUGGUGUCUCACGCCAUUAAUCCUGGCACUAGGGAGGCAGAGGCAGACAGAUCUCUGUGAGUUCGAGACCAGUCUGGUCUACAAAGGGAGUUUCAGGAUAGCCGGGACUGUUACCCAGAGAAAUCCUGUCUUGAAAAUCUUGGGGGGAACAAAAGAAAGAAAAAAGGAGGGAAAUGCCUAAGAACUGAAGUUGGUGAGAGCAAAAUAAAAGUUGACACUUGGGGUUGGGGAUUUAGCUCAGUGGUAGAGCGCUCGCCUAGCAAGCGCAAGGCCCUGAGUUCGGUCCCCAGCUCCGGAAAAAAAAAAAAAAGAAAAGAAAAAAAAAGAAAAUUUGACACUCAGGUUGACACUCAGUGUCCCCCUCUACCCAGAAGGCUGAGUAACAGGGCAUUUGCACAGGAAGUGUUUUCUACAGGUGUCCACACGCUCUAUAACCUGUGCCUGGGUUGUAGGGGGUUUGCUCUCUUCCCACUCACUGGCUUCUUACAUAGGCUGACCUAAUGCCUCUUUCCCCCUCCUCCCGACAUACUGACAGCCUAAAACACGCUUAACAUACCUCAAAUGAGAAGCAUAGGCCAGAAUCCUCAGGCUGGCAGGAGGUCCAGGGAGGCUUUGGAAGGGCUCAGAAAUUUAGAUUUAUUUCUGGAGGAGAGUGCUCUGUGAUAAAGGCUGACCAGGGUCUUGUGGGUUGUGUUAAAACUGUAUGACGUCGCUUAGGUCAUAGGUCUGUCUGCCUGGCUGGUUGGAAGCCUCUGCUGGGAUGUUUGUCUUUCGGGGCGCUCUAGACCCAGCUAGCAGUUCCUGAGGAGGGAGAAGCUAGGAGCUGACCUCACUUCAAGGAGGACGAGGAUGCUGAGGGGAGCCCAGCUGGAACGCUUGGGAGUUUAAGGAAAAUGGAUCUGGGAGCAGUGACAGCAGGAAGCUCCAAGAAAACCCAAACAGCUCAGCUCAUGAUUUGCCAAGGGAUGGACGAGUCCCUCCCCUUCCCUGGAGUUGUUAAGGUCUGACCCUCACCAGCUGGGCUUGACCAACCCAAGCCACUUAAAGGGAUGAAGCGUAAUGAAAAGUGCAAAGAAGAGAUUCAUUCACCGGGAAGAGCGACAGAGGCCCAGGGACAGCCUGUACUGGUUUGAACAGAAAGUGCAAAAGAUCAUCGAUGAGGUUUGAAGAAGCAAUUAGUGACAAAAUAUGUCAAUGCUGGGCUCGGAGACAAGCACAGGACGGCUCCGUGCCACUCAAAGCCAGGGAGACCCUGCCACUCCAGGAUGUUUGAGUCUUAUCACAUGCGUCCCGACUUGUCACUUUCAGGAAAUAGAGUUUCCUUUAGUCUUCCUCGCUAAGAUGUUUGUUCCCGUUAUGGUUAUGUGGCAACUACGAGAUGGCUAAUCAGAAGCACCUGAUGGAUGUAUCCUUCCCUGCCCAUCCUCAGAGCGUUUCAACCGGCAGAGCGGGCAGAGCGCCGGAAAACCUAGCCCGUUUUCCCUGUUGCCACAGCGACGGUAUUGCCCAUACGUAACCCUCACGGCCGCUUGCUGGGCGCCGGCUAAUUCUCAGGCCCCGUCGAAAACCUUUGGGUGUAUCGUUCCUCCGGACAUUUACAAAAUGACGUUCUGAAGACGCCAUUAUUGCAAAUUCCAGUUGAGUCCGAUUAGGUCAGAAACAGAGAGCAGCCUGUGCGCCAAAGCCUGCCACAGUCAUCCGUUCAAACGCACAGCAGGGGGACUGGGGCUGUGCUUCCGUCAGUAGGGCACCUGCCUAGCAUGCACAAAGCCCUGGGUCAGCCUCCAGCACCGCACAACUGGACGUGGCCGGCCUAACCUGAGUCCUAGCACCCAGGAGGAGCAGAAGGGAUGACUGGAAGGACAAGGUCAUCUUCAGCUAUGCAGUGAGUGGCCAGCCAGGUCCACUUACUGAUGGAAGACACCUUCCAGAAGAGGUUCCUUCAGUGUCACAAAUCUGGUUUGGGGAGCUGGCCAGAGAGAAGGAGAUGGGCUGCCCCCUCUCUAGUUCCCUCAAUUUGGUGUCUCCAUAAUCAUGAAUAAUCCUACUUUCUGGUUAUGCACAGCAUGUCAUUCAUAGCAAAUGUCAGAAUGGAAGUUAUCAUUUGUGUGUGCACGCGUGUGUACACAUAUGCGUACAUGUAUGUGUGUGUACAUGUAUGUGAGUGUGCAUGUGUGUUUGUGCAAGUGUGUGUGUGACACACACACAGAGAGAGAGAGAGAGAGAGAGAGAGGGAGAGAGAGACUCACUUUGUAACCUACACUGGCUUUGAGCUCCUGCUCUUCCUCCUGCGUCAUCCCCCUGAAUGCUGGAAUUACAGGUAUUGACCACACUGAAGCUGGGGUGUGGCAUCUGUGUGUCCUGCUGCUGUUGCUGCUGCUGCUGCUGCUGCUGCUGCUGCUGCACUGAGCGCCACCUUGGGGAGGGCAUCUUGGAGCUGUCACAGGUGCAGCACCAUCUCAAUCAAAAAGAGGCCACUAUAACCUGCUUUUCACUUAUGGCCUGUGCUGUGCUGUGGAUGUAUUUGCAGAAGGUGAAGCUAGUCUCUUCCCAUCCUUUGGAUGCAGCUCACUGCCCUUGGGAUGGGAGUCACAGGCAGUCGGUCCCAAGGGCUCUGCCCUCAGUGCAGAUGAAAGCCAUCAUCUCUGGGGUAAGUGGCUUAGACCCCAUUUCCUCCUCUUAGCCCCAGCUUGCCCUUCUGCCUUCUGACUAGGAUGUCACAGCAGGAACACUGUCACCAGAUGUCGCAGCCACCCUCCAGAAUGACAAGAGUGACAUUUCUGUUUCCCCGUAAAUUAUUCAGCCUUGAGUAUUCUGUCACAGCAGCAAAAAGAAAAAUAGAACUUGCGCCUUUCUGUACACGCACUGUGGGCUGAGGCUGAAUGGUCAAACCCUGGGCAGCCCAUGGACUUAGGAGAUUCCCAAGGCUGCUUUCAGCAGAGGCUGUUGCUCUCUCUGUUAUAUUUAGGCUUUGUCCUAGUGUGUGCGGUGCCCACUGCGUGCGACCUUGUGCUAAGUUCAUGUGCUCUUGCCCUGGAUACAAGGACUCUGCUCUGGGCUUUCAGUCUGUCCACCAAUAGAAUAGGUGGCAGGGGAACCCUGACAAAUAUUCGAAUUGAAAAAGAUCCUCCUUCAUGGUGGGGGGCGGGUGCAUGUGAACUGCCCUGAGGGAGUGGAGGGAGCUGGGGCCAACACUCCCAUGCUGGGAGGUGGCUCAAAUGCUGGUCCAUGCCCUCCCUCUCCCUCUUCUCCUCUCCCUCCUCUCCCUCCUUCUGGACACAACUCCUUUCUUGCCCCAACUCCCGGUAGUCAGGAGGCUGGCCCCAGGGCAUGAGAGGGCUUGUGAGCAGGAAGGCUGAUUUGACCUCCUGCCCUUGGCAGCACUGGCCUAGCCAGAGCAGUGCUGGAGAGCUCACCCUGGUGGUACCGACAAGGGAGAAGCAGCAAGCUGGCCAGCUCAGAUCCAGAUCCAGGGUUCUGAAUUGUCCCACCCUAAAAUCUAUAUCAUCUUCAAAUAGUUGGGACUCAUAAAAGGACCGGUCCUGCUGACCUCUAGGGCAGUGGCUCUCAACUCUCCUAACUCUCUGACCAUGUAAUACAGUUCCUUGUGUUUUGGUGACUGUCAGCCAUAGAAUUAUUCCUGUUACUACUUCACAACUAUAAAUUUGGAUAUGGUUAUGAAUUGUAAUGUAAGUGUCUGUGUUUCCCCAUGGUCUUAGGCAGCCCCUGUGAAAGGGUCAACCCACAGGCUGAGAAGCGCUGUUCUAGGGUUUGUUACAGGCAGCAAGGAGUGAGUGAUGCUCUGGAGCUGGGCAGAGAGGGCAGCAUCCUGGGCUCGCCUGACACCGAUCUGCAUCCAGACAGUCCCAUUUUUAGUCACACAUGUGGAGCCCAGGGCUAAGGCACCAGGAAAACAAGGACCACACAGGACUGUGUCUUCCCUGAGAAAGCUAGGCCACCUGAAAAAAAAAUCCCAGCUCUGGGGAGGCAGAGGCAGGUGGAUCUCUGAGGUCAAGGCCAGCCUGGUCUACAAAAUGAGUCCCAGGACAGCCAGGGCUACACAGAGAAACCUUGUCUCAAAAACAAAAACAAACAAACAAACAAAAAUGUUUAUUUAUACAUUUUAUCUGUACAUUUUUUCUGUACAAAGUUUUGCCAGGUCAAGGAUUCAAGGUGAGGAUGGCAGCCCCACAAUGACGGUGGCUGGGACACGAAGCCCAUGCUCCCCCCAGUGAAGUCUGAGGCACACAGGAAACUCCAAACCACAACUGUGCCUCACCCUGCCAUCCCCAAAUAAAACAAUACCCACAAACCAAGGAGAACAGAGGAGCCAAGAAUUCAAGCCCCACUGCAAGGCUGGCCUAACCACCAUUCUCCUGGGGCAGCUUGCCUCAUUGGAAGGAAACGAAAAAAAACCCUUGAGCUCAGAGGUUCCUGCGACCUGGACCCACAGAAACAGCAGGACAUUUGGCCAAAGCGCAGACUCCUUAAACAACCCCUCUGAUUCAUUUAUUUCCAAAUACCUCUGAGUAUGAGAGAGCAUGAUCUAGGGGCUACUGAGUAGAUCAGAGGUGAGGGGUGAUUCUCAUCGAUGCCCAGAAAACCAUGAGCGUAAGACUCAAGCAGCAGAAUGCAGAAUGGAGAAAAACAAGGUUGGAAACGAAAGCUCACAGCUACAGUUCCAGGACAUCACGAGUUCUACUUGCCCGUGCGCCUCCUCUUCAUUCUGGAGUGAGUUUUGCUUCCAAGUAACCAGAUGACAGGUGGGAAAUGACAUCUUGGGUUUCAGUUCUGUAUUCCUCAGGAGCGAUCCACCAGCAGGUUCCAGAGACCCCAGAAAAUUCUCUUCAUGUAAGAGCUUUGGAACAGCUUGCUUAUAACUGGCCUCUCGUGUGGCCUAUGCUGGUCUUGAACGUGUUUAUAUAGCCUAGGAUGGCUUUGGACCCUCACCUCCUCUCUGUGCCUCCAGAGAACUACGGGUGUGUGUGCCAUCAUGCAUGGUUCAUGUUGUGUGGAGGAUGGGACCCGUCCAGGGCUUUGUGCACGCCAGGCAAACACGCUGCCAACUGAGUACACCUCCAGCUAGAGUAGUUUGUGCUUGUUCGGUUGGUUCUCGAGACAAGAUUUUGUUUAGCCUAGGCUGGCUCGACGUGUAGCCAAGCGCAGCCUUGAACUCCUGAUCCUCCUUCAUCCUGCCUCUGCUGCCUAAGUGCUGGGAUUCUAGACUUGGACCUCUGCGCCUGGCUUAAAAUAUAUAUGUAUUUUUAGAGUUGAGAAUAUAUCGAAGACAACACUAGGAGCUUCCACAUACCCUGACACAGAUGAUCUGCCACGGAUGUCUCAGGGGGAUAUAAUAUACUUGUCAGAAUUGAUGAAAAUAAUUACGGAUAUUAAUAAUAAUGUCCUGCUUUUAUUUCUGUUGCUGUGAUAAAAUAUUUUGACAAAAAGCAACUCGUGGAAAGAGAAAUUUAUUCCUACUCUCAAAGUUAUGGUCCACCUCUGUGGGGAGGUCCAGGCAGGAACGUCAGUCAUACCACAGCCACAGUCAAGAGCAGAGGGAGAUGCUUGAUUGCUAGUGCUUAGCUCGAUUUGCCCUCGAAUACAGUGCAGGACCUCUUGUCUAGGGAAUGCUGCUGCCCACAGUGGGCUCAGUCUUCCCACAUUAAUGAACUCAAUUAAGACGAUGCCCGCAGAUGUUCCCACAGGACAACUCAAUGUAGACAAGCUGUCAUCCGUUCAUCUCUUCCCAGGUGAUCCUAGGCUGUAUGAAGUUAGUGAUGGAAGGUAAUUCUCAUAGUCAGUAAAGUCCACAUAUGAACGAACACUGGUUUAUUUAGCUUUUACUCGGUGAUCUUUCCCUGGCUGGGAUGCCGCCCCAGGACACUCAUCCCAUGACACUUAGCUACAGGCUUCAUUUGUUGGCAACAGUUUAUGAGACUCACGUUAUCUCCCAUGGCCUGCGCAGUGUGGGGGAGACCUGGUUGGGACUGUUACUGAGAAGAACUAAUGGAACGUGUGUGUGUGUGUGUGUGUGUGUGUGUGUGUGUGUGUGUUCGUGUGUGUGUGCCUGUGUGGUGUGUGUAUUAAAGGGAGUUAUUAGGUUGGCUCACACAACAGUCUGAAUAGUCCAACAAUCGGCGCGUACACUCCUAGGGAGGCUGCAAACACCAUAACUGCUCUAUCCAUGAGGCCGCAUGCCUUGGAGGUACCAGUCUAGACACACUGAGGGCCUAGAAGGUUCCUGGACAGCAUUUUGCCUUCAGUUCGUCUGUGAGGCUGAAGAACAUGGAGUCUGGUGUCAGUUAAGGAUGGUGGCAGAGACAGACGGACACACCAGCUCUGGAAGGCAGAUCUCUUUUCCGUCCCUCCCUGUUGGGCAGCAGCCCUGUAUUCAGGGUGUGCCCUCCUUCCCUAGGUGACGCUUUCUGCAGACGUCCUCCCAGGCGUGCUCAGAGAUGUGCUUCAACCUUAGCUCUACUUGACCAUGAAGAUUACCCAUCCUGCCCCUUGUGCUUUUUCAGUUGCUUACAGAUUUCAGUCAGGACAGGAGCAUUCCUUUCAAAGUUUUGGCUGUCAUCAGAUAACCUCUUUACUUUCCUUCUCAAAAUGCCCAAGCUGUGACCACCUGGAGCCUCUUUGCUUGGGUGCCAGCCCCACAUAGGCGUUGGCUGCUUACCUAGAACUCUGUCUUAGUUGGUGUUUCCAUUGCUGCAAAGAGACACCAUGACCAAGGCUACUCUUAUAAGAGACAUAUUUAAUUGGGGCUGGCUUACAGGUUCAGAGAUUCUGUCCAUUAUCAUCAUGGCAGGAAGCAUGGCAGCCUCCAGGCAGGCAGUUGUGGUGUUGGAGAAGGAUCAGAGUUGUGCAUCUAAACCUGAUGGCCACUGGGAGGCUGUCCUCCAGGAAGCUAAGAGGAGGAUCUCCAAACUCACCCCCACCAUGACACACCCACUCCAAGGCCACACCCACUCCAACAAAGGCCACGCCCACUCCAACAAGGCCAUGCCCACUCCAACAAGGCCACGCCCACUCCAACAAGGCCACAUCCCCUAAUAGUGCCACUCCCUAAGCUAAGUAUAUUCAAACCACCACAAACUUUUUUGUGUCAUAGCCUUACAAGAUGCUCCUGGCUCUACUCACCCCUUUCCUGGCCUGGCCUGGAGUCCACCGUUUGUCCUGGCCUCUGGCACUUCUCUCGGCAAGCUCUGGCUCUAGGUGUCUUUGUUGCCUCGAGGCCUCUCCUCUGGGUAAGCAAGGAGCCAAGAUCAGGUCUUCAGCCUUCUCUGAUGGGGGUGUGGCAGUGCACCCCUUCACCAGACCAGCUGGCACGUUCAAGGCUGAAUGUGCUGACAGGUGACAAGCAACGGGGGCCCAGCUGGGGCAAGUGUUGAGACCCACAACAGAGAAGUGUGGUCUCCUCAAGGAUGCCCAAGUCACUGGAGGGCAUACGAGUGUCCACCUACUGUCCCCAAGGAGAAUCCACGCAGCGACCCGAACCAAGCACCCACUGAAUCUCCCUGACAUCUGCUCUUAGAAGAAAGGACUGGGUCAUAUGUGACUCAGGACACCGACAAAUUCCCAUCGUCCUGUGGGUGUUAAUGAAAUAUUUUUAAUCUUGUCCUUCAAAGCAGCUGGCUUGUCUCCU